GUCUCAAUGCUGUAGUUAUGUGAAUGGUCCUUUGACCUGUGAUGGUAUGACUGUUCACAGUGAGCUUGUUGAAAUUUGAUUGACACAUAAAUAUGAUCUCAAUGAGUCUUUGUAGUAGAUGUUGAUGAUAGUUAGUCCACCGUAGGAGUAGGAUGUGUAUCUAGAUGGAAUCUAUUGACCUUAAUAGAAAAGGGUAGUC
rnacentral:lncRNA from 1 species